rnacentral:rRNA from 1 species
GACGAACGCUGGCGGCGUGCUUAACACAUGCAAGUCGAACGGAGUGGCGAAAGGGUGAGUAACAAGUGGGUGACCUGCCCUGCACUUCGGGAUAAGCAUGGGAAACUGGGUCUAAUACCGGAUAGUGUGGGAUGGGCCCGCGGCCUAUCAGCUUGUUGGUGGGGUAAUGGCAUACCAAGGCGGCGACGGGUAGCCGGACUGGGAGGGGUGACGGCAACAGUGGGACUGAGUCACGACCCGGACUGCUACGGGAGGCAGCAGUGGGAAAUAGUGCACAAUGGGCGGAAGGCUGAUGCAGCGACGCCGCGUGGGGGAUGACGGCCUUCGGGUUGUAAACUCCUUUCACCAGCGACGCGGUAGAUGGAGAAGAAGCACCGGCUAACUACGUGCCAGCAGCCGCGGUAAUAC